GGGGACGUAGCUCAGCUGGGAGAGCGUCUGAAUGGCAUUCAGAAGGUCGAGAGUUCGAUCCUCUUCGUCUCCA
rnacentral:tRNA from 1 species